GACCUCGUGGCCUAAUGGAUAAGGCGCCAGACUUCAGAUCCGAAGAUUGCCAGUUCGAAUCCUGUCGCGGUCG